UACGUAGGGGGCAAGCGUUGUCCGGAUUUAUUGGGUCGGUAAAGAGCGUGUAGGCGGCUUGGUAGGUCCGCUGAUUGAAAACUCGAGGCUCAACCUCGAGAUGUCGGCGGAAACCACUUGGCUAGAGUCCGGAAGAGGAGAGUGGAAUUCCGGGUGUAGCGGUGGAAUGACGUAGAGAUCCGGAAGAACACCGGUGGCGAAGGCGGUCUGCUGGGCAGUUGCUGACGACUG
rnacentral:rRNA from 1 species